ACAGAGGGGUGAUCUCUGCGAGGGGAAGCAAGGCCGUGCCCUUUGUCACGUCGUUCCUGAGUUCUGCUCUCUGGGGUUCUGAUGGACAAACCGAGGCUCAGAGGAUUGUACUGGAAGAUCGACAUUGUCUCAAGACCUUGCUAUGAACAAAUGUUGGAAUUCGGAUUUCAACUUUUUUUUUUUUGAAAAACAGUACAAUAUUUGGUCUCCCGUGAGAACCGUGCUCGUGUGGUUCUGUAAAUGCUCGUAGCUUUGUCCUUCCUGGGCUCCACGACAAUCGCAUGUGGUGGGAAGGUGAGCCUCCCCAGUGAGCUUGGUGGGGGCCCCUCACUGCCCAGAAACAGAAGCGCGCUGCACGUGGUAACUGCUUUGUAGAUUCUUAUAGAUAUUUUCCAGAGAAAAGCUUUAUUCAGUCCGGACUCUUCAGACUCUUCUGUGAGACACUGUGGUAUUUGUUAGAUACGUGGCCUUUGCUGUGUUAGUGACGCUGUUAGCUAUUGAAGCAUGUCCAAAGACUCAAUCUAUUCCUUCCCAGUAAAGGAUUUUAAUCAAUUUGGUUGUUUGGAUCAUAUUUGUUGAGCUCUGAAUUGAAGGAGAAAAAAACAUUCUAGCAGGAUAUAGACGACUCCCCCUCAGCAAACAAAGAUCCACCACAUAAUAUUAGAUUGGGGCAAAGAUUGUCACAGUUCAGGAAUGUUUUGCAGUUGGGUUCUCUCUAAACUGAAAACAUUCUUUUAACAUGGGGAAUUCCUUUGAGAGCAGUAAAAGUCCUACUCAUAUGACAUAUUACCCCCUCUUGAAUGGAGCCUACUAAAGGGUUAUUAAGAAUUUACCUUUUUGUCAAUAAAGUUCUUUACGGGA